GACGAACGCUGGCGGCGUGCUUAACACAUGCAAGUCGAACGGAAAGGCCCUGCUUUUGUGGGGUGCUCGAGUGGCGAACGUGUGAGUAACACGUGAGUAACCUGCCCUUGACUUUGGGAUAACUUCAGGAAACUGGGGCUAAUACCGGAUAGGAGCUCCUGCUGCAUGGUGGUGGUUGGAAAGUUUCGGCGGUUGGGGAUGGACUCGCGGCUUAUCAGCUUGUUGGUGGGGUAGUGGCUUACCAAGGCUUUGACGGGUAGCCGGCCUGAGAGGGUGACCGGCCACAUUGGGACUGAGAGACGGCCCAGAGUCCUACGGGAGGCAGCAGUGGGGAAUAUUGCACAAUGGGCGGAAGCCUGAUGAAGCAACGCCGCGUGCGGGAUGACGGCCUUCGGGUUGUAAACCGCUUUCGCCUGUGACGAAGCGUGAGUGACGGUAAUGGGUAAAGAAGCACCGGCUAACUACGUG
rnacentral:rRNA from 1 species